rnacentral:rRNA from 1 species
GAUGAACGCUAGCUACAGGCUUAACACAUGCAAGUCGAGGGGCAGCAUGGUCUUAGCUUGCUAAGGCCGAUGGCGACCGGCGCACGGGUGAGUAACACGUAUCCAACCUGCCGUCUACUCUUGGACAGCCUUCUGAAAGGAAGAUUAAUACAAGAUGGCAUCAUGAGUCCGCAUGUUCACAUGAUUAAAGGUAUUCCGGUAGACGAUGGGGAUGCGUUCCAUUAGAUAGUAGGCGGGGUAACGGCCCACCUAGUCUUCGAUGGAUAGGGGUUCUGAGAGGAAGGUCCCCCACAUUGGAACUGAGACACGGUCCAAACUCCUACGGGGGGCAGCAGUGAGGAAUAUUGGUCAAUGGGCGAGAGCCUGAACCAGCCAAGUAGCGUGAAGGAUGACUGCCCUAUGGGUUGUAAACUUCUUUUAUAAAGGAAUAAAGUCGGGUAUGCAUACCCGUUUGCAUGUACUUUAUGAAUAAGGAUCGGCUAACUCCGUGCCAGCAGCCGCGGUAAUACGGAGGAUCCGAGCGUUAUCCGGAUUUAUUGGGUUUAAAGGGAGCGUAGAUGGAUGUUUAAGUCAGUUGUGAAAGUUUGCGGCUCAACCGUAAAAUUGCAGUUGAUACUGGAUAUCUUGAGUGCAGUUGAGGCAGGCGGAAUUCGUGGUGUAGCGGUGAAAUGCUUAGAUUUCACGAAGAACUCCGAUUGCGAAGGCAGCCUGCUAAGCUGCAACUGACAUUGAGGCUCGAAAGUGUGGGUAUCAAACAGGAUUAGAUACCCUGGUAGUCCACACGGUAAACGAUGAAUACUCGCUGUUUGCGAUAUACAGCAAGCGGCCAAGCGAAAGCGUUAAGUAUUCCACCUGGGGAGUACGCCGGCAACGGUGAAACUCAAAGGAAUUGACGGGGGCCCGCACAAGCGGAGGAACAUGUGGUUUAAUUCGAUGAUACGCGAGGAACCUUACCCGGGCUUAAAUUGCAGAUGAAUUACGGUGAAAGCCGUAAGCCGCAAGGCAUCUGUGAAGGUGCUGCAUGGUUGUCGUCAGCUCGUGCCGUGAGGUGUCGGCUUAAGUGCCAUAACGAGCGCAACCCUUGUUGUCAGUUACUAACAGGUUCCGCUGAGGACUCUGACAAGACUGCCAUCGUAAGAUGUGAGGAAGGUGGGGAUGACGUCAAAUCAGCACGGCCCUUACGUCCGGGGCUACACACGUGUUACAAUGGGGGGUACAGAGGGCCGCUACCACGCGAGUGGAUGCCAAUCCCAAAAACCUCUCUCAGUUCGGACUGGAGUCUGCAACCCGACUCCACGAAGCUGGAUUCGCUAGUAAUCGCGCAUCAGCCACGGCGCGGUGAAUACGUUCCCGGGCCU